GACUGCUAUCGGAUUGAUACUAAGCCAUGCGAGUCUUUGUAGUAAUACAAGGCAGACGGCUCAGUAACACGUAGUCAACCUACCCUAUGGACGAGAAUAAUCUCGGGAAACUGAGCAUAAUUCUUGAUAGAUCAUAAUGCCUGGAAUGGUUUAUGGUUAAAAUGAUUCGUCGCCAUAGGAUGGGACUGCGGCCUAUCAGCUUGUUGGUGAGGUAAUGGCCCACCAAGGCGAUUACAGGUACGGGCUCUGAGAGGAGAAGCCCGGAGAUGGGUACUGAGACACGGACCCAGGCCCUAUGGGGCGCAGCAGGCGAGAAAACUUUGCAAUGUGCGAAAGCACGACAAGGUUAAUCCGAGUGAUUUCUGCUAAAGAAAUCUUUUGCCAGUCGUAAAACCGCUGGUGAAUAAGGGGUGGGCAAGUUCUGGUGUCAGCCGCCGCGGUAAAACCAGCACCUCAAGUGGUCAGGAUGAUUAUUGGGCCUAAAGCAUCCGUAGCCGGCUUUGUAAGUUUUCGGUUAAAUCCAUGUGCUCAACGCAUGGGCUGCCGAAAAUACUGCAUAGCUAGGGAGUGGGAGAGGUAGACGGUACUCAGUAGGUAGGGGUAAAAUCCUUUGAUCUAUUGAUGACCACCUGUGGCGAAGGCGGUCUACCAGAACACGUUCGACGGUGAGGGAUGAAAGCUGGGGGAGCAAACCGGAUUAGAUACCCGGGUAGUCCCAGCUGUAAACGAUGCAGACUAGAUGAUGCAUUGGCAUAAUAGCCAUUGCAGUGUCUCAGGGAAGCCGUUAAGUCUGCCGCCUGGGAAGUACGUACGCAAGUAUGAAACUUAAAGGAUUGGCGGGGAGCACACAAGGGUGAAGCCUGCGGU
rnacentral:rRNA from 1 species